AAGGAAUUUUUCAAUUUAUAGUUUAUGCACAGGAGUUGCAUGUCAGCUUGUCUCAGUUUCAACUUUUCCCUGUCUUGUGUUUCUUUCUCGGUUGUCACACUCUUUGUACUGUCUCAACUUUGUCGCUUUCUAUCUACAUGAAAUGACUUUUUGACUUCUGUAAUUUCAGGCCACAACUACUGGAACAUGAUUUCUUUCUCUUUGUAGGCCAAGACUUCUUGGUUAAAAUUAUUUAGGCUCCCAAGAUUUCUGAGGACUUGGAGGUGUUGUACAAAUCGAUCUUCGGUUAGGCACUGAUAACGGAUUGGAUAUCAAUUUUCUUGGGGCAUCUGGCUUCGUUGCUGUGUGCUAAAGUUUUGAUUUGCCAGACUGAAGAAUGGAGAGUCUUGUUUCCAGAGAGUCUUGAGUACUUGAGAUAUUCUUUGGGGCAUUCUUGAGUUGGGCAUCGUAAGGUGCUUGUCGGGCAAUUCUUUGGUUAUCUUAACUGAAAAUAGUUUUGUUGGCAAAUAAUUUCGUAUUGGGAUUUGUUCAAUUCAUUUCUGUGAUUUGUUGACGCUAUAUCAUUGGGAGUUCGCACACUAAUUGAAGCACAUACUGGAUAAUAUAAUUUUUUAGUAGCCUUUGCAGUCUUUAAGAGCAAACUU